AAGCAGGAUUCAAGAAUGACAGAAAGAUGGAGGAAGCAAAGUACAGAGCUGGAAUUUCCUCAGGGAUAUUAUGGAACAGAUUUUGUGGAUUGAGAAGGGAAACAUGAGUUUAAUCCGUUUUAAAGAAACAUUUUCUAUCAUAAAUUGUAGCAAAAUAUUUUUUUAAGUGAAUGGGCCCGUGACCCUGAAAAGGAGUAAGCGGUAGAAGACGGAUGGAUGGCUGGAUGGUCUGAAUGCUUUUUUCUACAGUCUGUCAUUUUGAAUCAGCAGGGAAUGGAAGGAAUGAACCUGAGAACAACUUGCAUCUCUGCCCCGCCCUGCUCAUGAAUGUGUGAAGGACUGGUCAUGUGUUUUUAGAUGAGUCCAGCUGAGCAGGUUCUUCUGGGUGAUCUGGGUGUGGCUGUCAUCACCUACACUCUCGCGUGCACACACACAGGGUCGCGGGGAAGCCUGGAGCCUAUCCCAGGGAGCAUCGGGCACAAGGCGGGGUACAACCUGGACAGGGUGCCAGUCCAUCACAGGGCACACAAUCACACACACACUCACACACCCAUUCAUACACUACAGACACUUUAGACACACCAAUCAGCCUACCAUGCAUGUCUUUGGACUGGGGGAGGAAACCGGAGUAUGAGGCAGGAUGUAUGAGACAGUGUGUAUGAGGCUGUGUGUAUGAGACAAUGUUUAUCAGGUAGUGCUUAUGAGGCAGUAUGUAUGAGGCAGCCUGCAUGAAACAGUGUGUAGGAGACAACAAGUAUGAGGCAGCAUGUAUGAGACGUGUGUAUGAGGCAGUGUGUAUGAGGCAGUGUGUAUGAACCGUGUGUAUGAGACGUGUAUGAAACCAUGUGUUUGAGGCAGUGUGUAUGAACCGUGUGUAUGAGGCAGUGUGUAUGAGGCAGUGUGUAUGAACCGUGUGUAUGAGAGGAGUGUAUGAGGCAGCGUGUAUGAGACGUGUGUAUGAGGCAGUGUGUAUGAGGCAGUGUGUAUGAACCGUGUGUAUGAAACCGCGUGUAUGAGACAUGUGUAUGAACCGUGUGAAUGAGACAUGUGUAUGAGGCGAGUGUAUGAGGCAGCGUGUAUGAGAC
ensembl:lncRNA